GCAAGUCGAACGAACUCUGGUAUUGAUUGGUGCUUGCAUCAUGAUUUACAUUUGAGUGAGUGGCGAACUGGUGAGUAACACGUGGGAAACCUGCCCAGAAGCGGGGGAUAACACCUGGAAACAGAUGCUAAUACCGCAUAACAACUUGGACCGCAUGGUCCGAGUUUGAAAGAUGGCUUCGGCUAUCACUUUUGGAUGGUCCCGCGGCGUAUUAGCUAGAUGGUGGGGUAACGGCUCACCAUGGCAAUGAUACGUAGCCGACCUGAGAGGGUAAUCGGCCACAUUGGGACUGAGACACGGCCCAAACUCCUACGGGAGGCAGCAGUAGGGAAUCUUCCACAAUGGACGAAAGUCUGAUGGAGCAACGCCGCGUGAGUGAAGAAGGGUUUCGGCUCGUAAAACUCUGUUGUUAAAGAAGAACAUAUCUGAGAGUAACUGUUCAGGUAUUGACGGUAUUUAACCAGAAAGCCACGGCUAACUACGUGCCAGCAGCCGCGGUAAUACGUAGGUGGCAAGCGUUGUCCGGAUUUAUUGGGCGUAAAGCGAGCGCAGGCGGUUUUUUAAGUCUGAUGUGAAAGCCUUCGGCUCAACCGAAGAAGUGCAUCGGAAACUGGGAAACUUGAGUGCAGAAGAGGACAGUGGAACUCCAUGUGUAGCGGUGAAAUGCGUAGAUAUAUGGAAGAACACCAGUGGCGAAGGCGGCUGUCUGGUCUGUAACUGACGCUGAGGCUCGAAAGUAUGGGUAGCAAACAGGAUUAGAUACCCUGGUAGUCCAUACCGUAAACGAUGAAUGCUAAGUGUUGGAGGGUUUCCGCCCUUCAGUGCUGCAGCUAACGCAUUAAGCAUUCCGCCUGGGGAGUACGGCCGCAAGGCUGAAACUCAAAGGAAUUGACGGGGGCCCGCACAAGCGGUGGAGCAUGUGGUUUAAUUCGAAGCUACGCGAAGAACCUUACCAGGUCUUGACAUACUAUGCAAAUCUAAGAGAUUAGACGUUCCCUUCGGGGACAUGGAUACAGGUGGUGCAUGGUUGUCGUCAGCUCGUGUCGUGAGAUGUUGGGUUAAGUCCCGCAACGAGCGCAACCCUUAUUAUCAGUUGCCAGCAUUAAGUUGGGCACUCUGGUGAGACUGCCGGUGACAAACCGGAGGAAGGUGGGGAUGACGUCAAAUCAUCAUGCCCCUUAUGACCUGGGCUACACACGUGCUACAAUGGAUGGUACAACGAGUUGCGAACUCGCGAGAGUAAGCUAAUCUCUUAAAGCCAUUCUCAGUUCGGAUUGUAGGCUGCAACUCGCCUACAUGAAGUCGGAAUCGCUAGUAAUCGCGGAUCAGCAUGCCGCGGUGAAUACGUUCCCGGGCCUUGUACACACCGCCCGUCACACCAUGAGAGUUUGUAACACCCAAAGUCGGUGGGGUAACCUUUUAGGAACC
rnacentral:rRNA from 3 species